rnacentral:rRNA from 1 species
CCUACGGGGGGCUGCAGUAACGAAUCUUCCGCAAUGCACGAAAGUGUGACGGAGCGACGCCGCGUGUGGGACGAAGUCCUUCGGGAUGUAAACCACUGUCAGGGGCAGCCAAGUUCUGAGGCGCCCCAGAGGAAGGCACGGCUAACUCUGUGCCAGCAGCCGCGGUAAGACAGAGGUGCCGAGCGUUAGGCGGAAUCACUGGGCUUAAAGCGUGUGUAGGCGGAUCGUUAAGUGUCUUGUGAAAUCCCACGGCUCAACCGUGGAACUGCUGGGCAUACUGGCGAUCUUGGGCCACCUAGGGGCAGACGGAACAGGCGGUGGAGCGGUGAAAUGCGUAGAUAUCGCCUGGAACGCCGAAGGUGAAAACAGUCUGCUGGGGGUGUGCCGACGCUGAGACACGAAAGCCAGGGGAGCAAACGGGAUUAGAUACCCGAGUAGUC